AUGACCUGGCCUCAGUUCACUCCAGACUAUUUGCGUAGCCCUUUUUUGCAAAUGGUAGUUUUCUCUAUAAUGUUGGAGAUUCUGAGCACAUUGGGAAAGCUACGGUGCGCCGAUCCGUGCGUAAAGUGCGUCUUGCGCUGAAGCGGUUCAUGCGCGACUUCAUCCGCUUCCCUGGACACAAACCCACGAGGGUCAUACAAAUGGAGUUCCACCAACUUGCAGGUCAGCAUUAUCUACUUUAACCAAAUGGCACAGAAAUUAUCUUUGUUGACUUUUCAUCUGGGUGUUAUAUUUCAGGAUUUUCAAAUGUAAUUCGGUGCAUUGAUGACACACAAGUCCCCAUAACGGCCCUAUCUAUAAAUGAGGCUGAACAGGAAAGGCUAUCACAGUAUAAAUGUUCAGAUUUGUGAUGCUUCCCACAUGAUCACGAAUGUAGAGGCAAAAUGGCCUGGUUCGGUCCACGAUGCCAGGAUGUAUCGUGAAUCAAAUUUGAGCAAUAUCAACAGGGGCAUUCGAUGUGUAUCUCCUAUUGAUCAAGGGUAU